rnacentral:rRNA from 1 species
GAUGAACGCUGACAGAAUGCUUAACACAUGCAAGUCUUUGGCGAAGCUGUGCUUGCACAGCCUAGCCAAGGCGGACGGGUGAGUAACGCGUAAGGAACUUGCCCUGCAGUCAGGGAUAACAGACGGAAACGACUGAUAAGACCUGGUAAAGUCAGGCGGACUCAUGUCCAGCCUGAUGAAAAGAGAUGCUGCAGGGGAGCCUUGCGUCCUAUUAGCUUGUUGGUGGGGUAACGGCCCACCAAGGCGAUGAUAGGUAGCCGGCCUGAGAGGGUGGACGGCCACAAGGGGACUGAGAUACGGCCCUUACUCCUACGGGAGGCAGCAGUGGGGAAUAUUGGACAAUGGGGGCAACCCUGAUCCAGCAAUUCUGUGUGCACGAUGAAGGUUUUCGGAUUGUAAAGUGCUUUCAGCAGGGAAGAAAAAAAUGACGGUACCUGCAGAAGAAGCGACGGCUAAAUACGU